UACGGGGGGGGCAAGCGUUGUUCGGAAUUACUGGGCGUAAAGGGCGCGUAGGCGGCCUGCUAAGUCGAACGUGAAAUCCCUGGGCUCAACCCAGGAACUGCGUCCGAUACUGGUUGGCUUGAAUCCGGGAGAGGGAUGUGGAAUUCCAGGUGUAGCGGUGAAAUGCGUAGAUAUCUGGAGGAACACCGGUGGCGAAGGCGACAUCCUGGACCGGCAUUGACGCUGAGGCGCGAAAGCCAGGGGAGCAAACGGGG
rnacentral:rRNA from 1 species